GUUGAGUUGAGUUGAGUUGAGUGUCUACUUGGUUGAUGAGCCUGCUUUUAGGCUCUCAAUUGUUGAAUUGACGUGUUUGGUAAGUAUGACAUUUAGAACAACUUCUAAAAAAAAUCAAUGGUAAGCAGUUCACAUUAUAAUAGAGCUGGGAUUUAAAAAUGUCAGCUUUGGCCCUUCAACUGUUGGCUAUUAACUGCCAAUUAUUGACUGCAAAUGUUGAACCAAGCAAGCAUCUUUUUUACAUUAUAAGGAUGUUUAUUACAUUUUUUUUCUUGUUUGUGAAUACAUAUCUUUUUAAUCACUUUGCAAUGCAGCAGUGAACUGCUAACCAACCUAAUAGCCUAGUAACCAAGUCCCUUCACCUAUUCAAUGUCACAUCCUAGCUCAAAAACUAUGAUAUAAUAUAGAAUACAGAGGCAUUUCUAUAUUUGUAAUUCCUCAUCCAGCCAAAGAGUUCACUGCUUCUUAUAUAGUACAUUAUUGUGUCAACUUAAGAUCUCAAAAAAUUCACUAAUCUGCAUAAUCUAUUAACAAUCGAUUUAUAUACAGUGUGACUGCUAGUUGUGCAAUUUACAGCUUUCUCCAGUGUGGCAAUCAUGCAUAUCAAGAUAUUUCUUCCGUGAUUCAAUUGUUCAGAACAACAUUUCAAAAAUUUAAAAGAAUAACAAUAUUUUUUUGAUAAAAAAUUGAAAUUUAGAUGUAAUUUCAUCAAAUAACAAAAGAGUAUAGCACAGUAACUUGCAAAUUUUCAGGAAAUGAAAGAGUCACUCACAGCAAUUGUGCAAG
rnacentral:misc_RNA from 1 species